UUAGUGUUAUCAGGAAGGAGAAGAGAAGAGGAAAAUAAGGUUUUUGGAGAAGAAGAGAGCUACGUGAAGUUGAACCAAGAGGCCAAGAGGAGAUUCAAAUCGGAGACACAUAGAGUUGUCAUCAAAUCAAUCCAAGUAGACAGUAGCAGAAAGUUCAUUAAAACAGUACCGAAUGGACGAAAGAAGAAGAAAAUAUUGUGCCUGGAUGCUGACGAACGGCAGCAUGUUGUUGGUUGGAUGUUGCCGAACGGCAGCUGGUUGUUGUAUAUGGGGGUUACCGUUCGGCAACCUUGGGGUAAAGGAGGAUGUGCCGAUCGACACAAUGAUGAAAGGAGGGGCGUGCCGUGA